AUAUGUUACAAAACCUCGCCGUCUUCACCUCUCCAUCUCUAUAGAUCUACUUUGCUCAGCAAUACGAUGAUAGAGAUAAAUGAAAUAUUAAUCUUAUACGAGAGUUCAUACUCACAUAACAGAAUCCACACAAUGAUAACUCUUCUCAAAAAUAUUUUCAUUACCUUCACAGUAAUCUAAAAAUUUAGGUGGUCAUUGUCUUCGAAGUCUACGAGUAGAUCUUUUAGUUGCAGUUCAGGUUAUGAAACUGGGGGUCUUCAUUUUCUGGAUCUUAAAGUUUAUCCUCCAAAUGAAGUUCGAGGUUAUGAUUUUGAUGAUCCAAUUAGGUUAGAGAAAUAUUACUGUUCAACUCUUGAAUGGUUGGUGACAUAAUGCAAAAUAAUUUAUAGAGAAUUAAUUUUGAGAUCGGUGGUAAACUAUAAUGGAACAUGUUAUAUAUUAGUACUAAUAAUCAGUUUAUGUAUUUGGAAAAUCAAAUGGGUUAGCUUAUGGAAUUUUGAUUGUCAUAUUAUGUAUGUUUCUUCAUUUAAUCUGCAUUAUGUAAAUUCUUUUAUUUUUGAGCAAUCCUCAUAGAGGGUCAAGCUUCAUAGAAGGACCACGUCUCAGUCAAUCAAAAUGAGUUAUGGUGUCUUCAAUUAAUCUUUCCUACAAUCUGUUUCUCAAAACCCCAUUAAUCUUCAUAGAAGGACCACGUUUGUAUAAUCUGUUUCUCAAAACCCCAGUUCAAGAAGAAAUCAGAUUCAGAGAAGCUUCAGAUUCAUUGUAGAAGAAAACGAAGAAGAAGGAGGAGGAAUUGAGAUUUUGAUUUUGGUUUGUUGAUUUGAUUUGGAAUAAAAAUGGUUUAGGGUAGAAGAUUGAGAGAGAAAGAGAUAUUAUAAGAAGGUGGAGAGAUCGGGGAUUGAUAGAGGUGGAUCAUUUGUUGUUGUUAGAAGGAUUUCACAAGGAUUUGAGAGGCGUGUACUGCUAUGGUUUCAUUCUCCUUCUGAUUCUACAGUCAAUUGUAGCUCGAGGUUCCAAUGCAAGAACGGAUAGUAAGGUGUAUCUGAUCAGAUUAUGGGUGCCAGGCCAUCAGCAGUCCCUGCUUCAUGUACUCAUUCCUGCCUUCUUUGUCGAAUAAGUUGGUGAUGCCCCGACAUCGUGAAACUAAUUGAUCUAGAAUACAGAUGGACAUGGAUGACUAUUUAUUAAAAAUUAAAUCCCGAUAGAUAUUUUUAUAAUGUUUUUUGUUCAUUUACUUAUCUUCUGUGUUCUUAAGUUCGUCAUUUGUAAUCUGUUUAUUUUACUCUUUAUAUGCACUUGUAUUCAUGUAUGUUCCCUAUGUUACGUCUCCAGUUCUCCUUGAGAUUGGCAUUCUCCUGUUGGAAGUGCUCCUUAUUUUGUGUAAAUCGUACUCAAAAUCAAGUUUGUAAAGUUACUAGGCUAUAUCUUAUAAAGUUGGUGGUGUAUUUUAAAUUUC